UACGUAGGAUGCAAGCGUUGUUCGGAAUUACUGGGCGUAAAGAGUACGUAGGCGGCAAUGUAAGUCUGAUAUUAAAGACUGGAGCUUAACUUCAGGAGUGUAUUGGAAACUACAUAGCUAGAGGAUAGUAGAGGAAGUCGGAAUUCCAAGUGUAGCGGUGAAAUGCGUAGAUAUUUGGAAGAACACCAGUUGCGAAAGCGGACUUCUGGGCUAUUACUGACGCUGAGGUACGAAAGCGUGGGGAGCAAACAGG
rnacentral:rRNA from 1 species